rnacentral:rRNA from 1 species
GAGUGGCAUCCACCUUGGGUGCCUGUCCAACCGUCUAACAAUGGUUGUUAGCAAGGGCCGGGUAAGACCGGUGCCAGCCGCCGCGGUAAUACCGGCGGCUCGAGUGGUGGCCGAUAUUAUUGAGUCUAAAGGGUCCGUAGCCGGCUUUGCAAGUCCCCUGGGAAAUCCAGCGGCUUAACCGUUGGGCUUCCAUGGGAUACUACAUUGCUUGGGACUGGGAGAGGUAGGAGGUACUCGGGGGGUAGGGGUGAAAUCCUGUAAUCCUCCGGGGACCACCGGUGGCGAAGGCGUCCUACCAGAACAGGUCCGACGGUGAGGGACGAAAGCUAGGGGCACGAACCGGAUUAGAUACCCGGGUAGUCCUAGCCGUAAACGAUGCCCGCUAGGUGUCACGACGGUCGUGAAUCGUCGUGGUGCCGUAGGGAAGCCGCGAAGCGGGCCACUUGGGAAGUACGACCGCAAGGUUGAAACUUAAAGGAAUUGGCGGGGGAGCACCACAACGGGUGGAGCCUGCGGUUUAAUUGGAUUCAACGCCGGGAAGCUUACCGGGAUCGACAGUUGUAUGAAGGCCAGGCUGAAGACCUUGCCGGACUAGCUGAGAGGUGGUGCAUGGCC